rnacentral:sRNA from 1 species
AAUAUCACAAAUGUGCGUCCCAGAAUUUCACACAUAGCCAACAAUUUGGGUUUCGACGAAACCAGUCGCAUUUUGUUUUGAUUGGUUCUCCCUCUGCCACCCGCAAACGCUGCGUUUGCGGAUGGUAGCGGUUGUUAGCGUUUGACACCAAUCAUAGAAACCGCUAGAUACCGCUUGAAAUCGCCAGAUUUCAAAAGCUCCUUCCCGCAAGCGUUUGCGGUUGCGGGCGGUAGCAGUUAGGUUAAUUUUUUUUUU